AACGAACGAUGGCGGCAUGCCUAACACAUGCAAGUCGAACGAGACCUUCGGGUCUAGUGGCGCACGGGUGCGUAACGCGUGGGAACCUGCCCUUAGGUUCGGAAUAACUCCCCGAAAGGGGUGCUAAUACCGGAUAAUGUCUUCGGACCAAAGAUUUAUCGCCUUUGGAUGGGCCCGCGUUGGAUUAGCUAGUUGGUAGGGUAAAAGCCUACCAAGGCGACGAUCCAUAGCUGGUCUGAGAGGAUGAUCAGCCACACUGGGACUGAGACACGGCCCAGACUCCUACGGGAGGCAGCAGUGGGGAAUAUUGGACAAUGGGCGAAAGCCUGAUCCAGCAAUGCCGCGUGAGUGAUGAAGGCCUUAGGGUUGUAAAGCUCUUUUACCCGGGAUGAUAAUGACAGUACCGGGAGAAUAAGCUCCGGCUAACUCCGUG
rnacentral:rRNA from 1 species